AUGUUAUGUGGAAACAGAGAAAGGUUAGCACUCCCCUUUAAAAGGAUGGAAGAGACCCCUGGGCCUGACAACAUGCAUACAGUUAAGAAUUGCUAACCAUUGUUUUUA
ensembl:snRNA